rnacentral:lncRNA from 1 species
AUUAUUAUCACUAUUAUUCUUUACAUAUUUUUUAAACUAGACAGCACACAUGCGCAUAGGUAAAGUUUAGAUGAGUGCUCACAGUGAAGCUAAUUAAAACGUCCAGGAAAUAAUGCAUCCUUUUCUUUUAACCCGUGCUUUCCAGAAUUUGAUGUAUUUUACCAAAUGGAAGUCUCAUUGUGUGACAGUUUGGUACCGUGAGUGAAUGAAGGGCUCUCCACUUACACAUGCAAAAAUGUCCUUCCACGUUUCAGUAGUAUUUAUUGAGGACGGCGGGAAUGGCAGACACCAUGAAUUACACCUAAGCAUGAGAGUCAGCUCACGGCCAGGCCUUUUCCAGAAUUCCAGCGCCUUUGCAUCUUGUCGCCUGGCCUCUGGAGCUGAGGGUGGCAUAAACUGCUGCUAAAUGUCACUGCAGGCUGAGGUGUCAGCAGAGCACAGCUGAGAGCUCUGGAAUUCAAAUCAGGACCUUUGUCGCCGUGAUGUUCUGCUCCUUCCCAAACCUGCUCGGGCUAUGGCAGGAUUUUUCUCUACGCAAAGGCUCCUGGUAAGUCAGUCGAGCUGGGACAACAACCUCUUAUUUUAAGUAAAAAGAGGAGGAGGGCACUUCCUUGUGAGCUUCAUUGAUUACGAGCUGGUUCUUCCAAGCGUUGUUCCAUCUACUGUGUGCUUAACCCAAUCCAACGACAUUGGUGCUGUGCCCGGGUCUGAAAGUGGGUAGGAAGCUGCAUUACAGAAACGGUGCUAUUUUAGGAUUAAGCAACUUGAGUGCCUCAGCUUACUAUGCAGGUUACAGUUAGAUGCUCAACUAAUGAAUCAUCAUCGCGCAUCAUUUGCAUAACUGAGGGAAGAUAAUGCACUGCGGAGCGAACGCAGACUCUAAUUUGCGGACAGAAGAACAGAUUCAUUUUCUUACAACUUUUUUUUCCAUUUAUGUUUUUAUAUGUCAAAUGUAAAAAUGUUUCCAUGGAGACCGUAAAGGUUUUUAUUAAAAGGUCGAUAAUAUACCUCCUACAUCAUAAUUUAAGCAACUUGAGUGAAACCUUAUGAUCUUGUUUUUCGACAUGUUCCAGCUGGCGUCUUUCCUCCAUUGUAACCUAUGCCAGAAAAAUGCAGUGAAACUGUAAAACCU